UUAACCCUUUCCCCCAUGAGCAUAUUGUGAAAAAUGGCCAUUUUCACUGAAAAGCCUCCUGUUACAAGUUCAAACUGCUAUGAAACUAUGAAAAAUGCUGCAAUACUAAUCAAACUUGGCACAAAUGUUGACUGGACCAUUGCUUUUGUAACGACAUGCUCAGUCUUUAAUUUCCUGUUACCAUGGCAACGAGGGACAUCUCAAAAUUGCCAAAAAAUCACUUUUUUGCCUCGAUUUUUUCCAUCAAAAUUUAUUUCAAAGUGCUGCAACUUCUCAAGGGAUUGAGAUAGAGUCAAAGGCUUUUCAGCGUUGGUUACACGUUACCUUAUGAUCGACCUGGGGUCAUUUUAAGCCUCUCACAAGUCCAAAAUUUUCUUGGCGAUGAGGGGGACUCCGCCCCCCUUCAAACCCCCCAAACAGAAGGGGGCACAUCCCCCUUCUGGCAACCCCCGAUGUUAUAUUUGGAUGGGGGACGGCGCCGAAAAAAUGGUCACUUUUUUUAACAACAUUUCUCAAACAAAAGACAGUGUUUGGGGCCUAAAUAGGGCAUUUUUUAACUGUUUGAGGCCUCAAAAAGGGGGGGGGGCAAAAAGCCGUCGAAACACGCUUAUAUAAGGGAAAAGGUUAACAAAAAAUGAUGAAAAACCUUGGAAUCGCCCAAAAUCCAGUUUUUCCAUGUUAACAUGUGGUCUUUUACCUAAUUUUGGUGAAAAAUUGUUGUUUUGUAACAUUUAUAAUUUUUUUAGUUAACAAAAAAUGAUGAAAAACCUUGGAAUCGCCCAAAAUCUAGUUUUUCCAUGUUAACAUGUGGUCUUUUACCUAAUUUUGGUGAAAAAUUGUUGUUUUGUAACAUUUAUAAUUUUUUUAGUUAACAAAAAAUGAUGAAAAACCUUGGAAUCACCCAAAAUCUAGUUUUUCCAUGUUAACAUGUGGUCUUUUACCUAAUUUUGGUGAAAAAUUGUUGUUUUGUAACAUUUAUAAUUUUUUUAGUUAAC